rnacentral:rRNA from 1 species
GGUGUGACGCCUGCCCGGUGCUCGAAGGUUAAUUGAUGGGGUUAGCAUUAGCGAAGCUCUUGAUCGAAGCCCGAGUAAACGGCGGCCGUAACUAUAACGGUCCUAAGGAAGCGAAAUUCCUUGUCGGUUAAAUACCGACCUGCAUGAAUGGCGUAACGAGAUGGGAGCUGUCUCAAAGAGGGAUCCAGUGAAAUUGUAGUGGAGGUGAAAAUUCCUCCUA